AUCAUCCUAGAGUUAAGGGUAUUCAUGGAGCUGUGCUCCCUUGCUAGAACCUGCAAGCAAGCUCUCACUGGACCCUUGUAAGAGACUUUGAAGCCUGGGAGACCAAC
rnacentral:sRNA from 1 species